rnacentral:ncRNA from 1 species
GAAUCUAUGGUUCAUUUAGUUGAUUAAAAGGGAAGCAGGUUGAAGUCCUGCACGGUCCCGCCACUGUGAGAUGGAUGAAAGCAGAUUCCACUGGCUAUGCUGGGAAGGAUGCAAGUAAGACGAAAUCGAGUCAGGAGACCUGCCAAAGAUUGUUU